UACGUAGGGGCAAGCGUUGUCCGGAAUCAUUGGGCGUAAAGCGCGCGUAGGCGGCCCGGUAAGUCCGUUGUGAAAGUCAAAGGCUCAACCUUUGAACGCCGAUGGAUACUGCCGGGCUAGAGUCCGGAAGAGGCGAGUGGAAUUCCUGGUGGUAGCGGUGGAAUGCGCAGAGUAUCAAGGAGGAACACCAAUAGACGAAGGC
rnacentral:rRNA from 1 species